rnacentral:piRNA from 1 species
UGGAGAAAGCCAAAACACAUUAUGAUGCC